rnacentral:rRNA from 1 species
UACGUAGGGUGCAGGCGUUAAUCGGAAUUACUGGGCGUAAAGCGUGCGCAGGCGGUUUGCUAAGACAGGUGUGAAAUCCCCGGGCUUAACCUGGGAACUGCGCUUGUAACUGGCAAGCUAGAGUGUGGCAGAGGGGGGUGGAAUUCCACGUGUAGCAGUGAAAUGCGUAGAGAUGUGGAGGAACACCGAUGGCGAAGGCAGCUCUCGUGGGACGGUACUGACGCUGAGACGCGAAACGUGGGG